GACGAACGCUGGCGGCGUGCUUAACACAUGCAAGUCGAGCGGUAAGGCCCUUUCGGGGUACGACGAGCGGCGAACGGGUGAGUAACACGUGGGUGACCUGCCCUCAGCUCUGGGAGUAAGCCUGGGAAACCGGGGUCUAAUACCGGAUAUGACUCCAUGACGCAUGUUGUGGGGUGGAAAGCCUUGUGCGGCUGAGGAUGGGCCCGGCGGCCUAUCAGCUUGUUGGUGGGGUGAUGGCCUACCAAGGCGACGACGGGUAGCCGGCCUGAGAGGGCGACCGGCCACACUGGGACUGAGACACGGCCCAGACUCCUACGGGAGGCAGCAGUGGGGAAUCUUGCGCAAUGGGCGAAAGCCUGACGCAGCGACGCCGCGUGAGGGAUGACGGCCUGGUGUAAC
rnacentral:rRNA from 1 species